GACGAACGCUGGCGGUGUGCUUAACACAUGCAAGUCGAACGGUAAGGCCCUUUCGGGGGUACACGAGUGGCGAACGGGUGAGUAACACGUGAGUAACCUGCCCUCAUCUCUGGGAUAACAGUCGGAAACGGUUGCUAAUACUGGAUAUGAGCUUGCAAGGCAUCUUGUGGGUUGGAAAGAUUUUUUUUGGUUGGGGAUGGACUCGCGGCCUAUCAGCUUGUUGGUGAGGUAGUGGCUCACCAAGGCUUCGACGGGUAGCCGGCCUGAGAGGGCGACCGGCCACAUUGGGACUGAGAUACGGCCCAAACUCCUACGGGAGGCAGCAAUGGGGAAUAUUGCACAAUGGACGGAAGUCUGAUGCAGCAACGCCGCGUGCGGGAUGACGGCCUUCGGGUUGUAAACCGCUUUCAAUUGUGACGAAGCGUUUUUGUGACGGUAGCAGUAGAAGAAGCACCGGCUAACUACGUG
rnacentral:rRNA from 1 species